GAUGCUGUUCCGUGCUUCCUUACUUCCCAUAGUGGAUGCGACGUAUGGAAUGUAAAGAAGUAUGGAGCUGCGCC
rnacentral:pre_miRNA from 11 species